GCACAGCAUUUGGUACUGGGAAUGUGUAUUUGAUCAACUUUAUUAAACUCUGAAAGAGGCUCUGGAUGGGGAUCUUUAUUUUAUUUCUUAUUUUUUUUAGACCAGUUUUAUUUAUUUUGUACAUUAUUCCCAAUUCUUUAUCAUCUAGUACCCCUUUAUUCCCAAUUCUUUAUCAUCUAGUACCCCAUUAUUCCAAUUCUUUAUCAUCUAGUACCCCUUUAUUCCCAAUUCUUUAUCAUCUAGUACCCCUUUAUUCCCAAUUCUUUAUCAUCUAGUACCCCUUUAUUCCCAAUUCUUUAUCAUCUAGUACCCCAUUAUUCCA
rnacentral:lncRNA from 1 species